UCGAGAUGUUCGAAAGUCGUAGAUGAAUUCAAAAUAUUUAUGAAAGUUUGAGUGAGUGCGGUAUUAUAAGUUAAAGAUUUGACUUGUAUAAGUAUGAGAUGUGAGAAGAGCAGACUUUAUGUACGAUCAUCUGCUAAUUUUGGCUCUGUGGUUGUAGGACGUGAAGAUGAGAUUGGUUGAAUAGUAUGAUCUAAUAGGUAGAAAUAAUCAAAAAAGUAGAUUUAACGGUCAAAAACUUAUGAGUAUAAAGAGGACUAUACUUAUAAGAGUAUAGUAGCCGAAUUCUUUCUCUCUCUAUAUAUUAUUAUUAUUAUUAUUUUCGCUCUCUAUGUUUUUUUAUUCU
rnacentral:lncRNA from 1 species